rnacentral:rRNA from 1 species
AUUGAACGCUGGCGGCAGGCCUAUCACAUGCAAGUCGAACGAGUGGCGGACGGGUCAGUAAUGUCUGGGAAACUGCCUGAUGGAGGGGGAUAAAUAAUGGAAACGGUAGCUAAUACCGCAUCCCCACGGAUGUGCCCAGAUGGGAUUAGCUAAUAGGUGGGGUAAAGGCUCACCUAGGGGACGAUCCCUAGCUGGUCUGAGAGGAUGACCAGCCACACUGGAACUGAGACACGGUCCAGACUCCUACGUGAGGCAGCAGUGGGGAAUAUUGCACAAGUGGCGCAAGCCUGAUGCAGCCAUGCCGCGUGUAUGAAGAAGGCCUUCGGGUUGUAAAGUACUUUCAGCGGGGAGGCGUUACCCGCAGAAGAAGCACCGGCUAACUCCGUGCCAGCAGCCGCGGUAAUUC